rnacentral:rRNA from 1 species
UGGGGAAUCUUGCGCAAUGGGCGAAAGCCUGACGCAGCGACGCCGCGUGAGUGAUGAAGGCCUUCGGGUUGUAAAGCUCUGUGGGGAGGGACGAAUAAGUAGAAGCUAACACCUUCUAUGAUGACGGUACCUCCUUAGCAAGCACCGGCUAACUCUGUGCCAGCAGCCGCGGUAAGACAGAGGGUGCAAACGUUGUUCGGAAUUACUGGGCGUAAAGCGUGUGUAGGCGGCUAAGUAAGUCAGAUGUGAAAGCCCCGGGCUCAACCCGGGAAGUGCAUUUGAUACUGCCUAGCUUGAGUAUCGGAGAGGUUGGUGGAAUUCUUGGUGUAGAGGUGAAAUUCGUAGAUAUCAAGAGGAACACCGGUGGCGAAGGCGGCCAACUGGACGAAUACUGACGCUGAGACACGAAAGCGUGGGGAGCAAACA